AUAGUGCUAGUACGUGGUAACAGUCGCUAAUGUCCCUGGUUUUGUCUAUGGUAUAGACAAACCCAGUGGAUUAAAAAACUGAUUUGAGCCACUCACUCAUAAAAAGUUCAGACUGUGACUUGUACUCCAUCUUGGCUGUGAUAGAAGCCAAGAAACAACACCGAUUGAAGUAUACUUGCCAGCAGUACCCAACUGGAAGGUGUUGAAUAUGAGGAGCAUGGCCCACCAAGAGAGACUGUGACUUGUACUCCAUCUUGGCUGUGAUAGAAGCCAAGAAACAACA